rnacentral:rRNA from 1 species
UAGGGAAUUUCCACAAUGGACGAAAGUCUGAUGGAGCAACGCCGCGUGAACGAUGAAGGUCUUCGGAUUGUAAAGUUCUGUUGUCAGGGACGAAUAAGUACCGUUCGAACAGGGCGGUACCUUGACGGUACCUGACGAGAAAGCCACGGCUAACUA